UACGGAGGGUGCAAGCGUUGUCCGGAUUUAUUGGGUUUAAAGGGUGCGUAGGCGGGCUUUUAAGUCAGCGGUGAAAGCUUCGAGCUUAACUCGGAAAUUGCCGUUGAUACUAUUAGUCUUGAAUUAAGUUGAGGAGGGCGGAAUAUGUCAUGUAGCGGUGAAAUGCUUAGAUAUGACAUAGAACACCGAUUGCGAAGGCAGCUCGCUAAACUUAUAUUGACGCUGAGGCACGAAAGCGUGGGGAGCAAACAGG
rnacentral:rRNA from 1 species